rnacentral:rRNA from 11 species
GCUUCCUGGCCUAAAUGCCCCUAAGUCUUUAGAUUCUAUCUGAUCUUGGAAGUUAAACAGGACCUGUCCUGGUUAGUACUUGGAUAGAAGACCACCAAUGAAUACAGGUGCUGUAGGCU